UAGCGGCAGGCCUAAUACAUGCAAGACGAACGGUAACUUGAAUAGCAAUAUUUGAGCAAGAGUGUCGUAAGGGUGCGUAACACGUAUGCAAUCUGCCCUCAACAGGAGAAUAGCUCCCCGAAAGGGGAAUUAACACUCCGUAAUAAAUUGGUGAGGCAUCUCACUAUUUUUAAAACUCCGGUGGUUGAGGAUGAGCAUGCGCAUGAUUAGUUAGUUGGCGGGGUAACGGCCCACCAAGACGAUGAUCAUUAGGGGAACUGAGAGGUUGAUCCCCCACACUGGCACUGAGAUACGGGCCAGACUCCUACGGGAGGCAGCAGUAGGGAAUAUUGGACAAUGGGUGCGAGCCUGAUCCAGCCAUGCCGCGUGCAGGAAGACGGCCUUCUGGGUUGUAAACUGCUUUUGCCAGGGGAUAAAAAGUCCCUGCGGGGAAAAUUGAAGGUACCUGGUGAAUAAGCCACGGCUAACUACGUGCCAGCAGCCGCGGUAAUACGUAGGUGGCAAGCGUUGUCCGGAUUUAUUGGGUUUAAAGGGUGCGUAGG
rnacentral:rRNA from 1 species